rnacentral:rRNA from 1 species
UACGAAGGGGGCUAGCGUUGUUCGGAAUUACUGGGCGUAAAGCGCGCGCAGGCGGCUAUCCAAGUCAGUGGUGAAAGCCCGGAGCUUAACUCCGGAACUGCCAUUGAAACUGUUUAGCUUGAGGACGAGAGAGGUGAGUGGAAUUCUUGGUGUAGCGGUGGAAUGCGUAGAUACCAAGAGGAACACCGAUGGCGAAGGCAGGUGACUGGACAUUUGGUGACGCUGAGGCGCGAAAGUGUGGGGAGCGAACCGG